rnacentral:tRNA from 1 species
UAGCUCAGUUGGUCAUAGCGCGGGACUAUCAAUUCCGUGGUCGUCGGUUCGAUUCUGGC